ACGCGCGCUACCGCUCGAUCCCUUUCUUUGAGAUUCGCGUCGUUCUUUCUUUUUUUGUUUUUCUGCUAUUUUCCUCCGACCGUUUUUGGGCUUGUUUUUGAAAUCCGCGCCCGUCUUGUCUACUUGCCCGCAGAAGUCUCCAGAUAGAGAAAGGUUGUGGGCGGGGGGGAGGCCGCCGCCUCUUUUUUUCGCUCUCACCGUGGUGUUUUAUUUUGUGCGAAUCAGCGGAAGGAGCGAGCGGUGUUGGAUCUGGUCUGGCCCGCGGCCAGCUUUAGGCCUGCUCUGUCGGGGCUGAUUUUGCUCCCACAAAUAGCUGCAGUUCGUGCCUGCAGGUUGCUGAUUUUCGGGCUGAUUUGAGUUUGUUAGGAGAAGACAGGUACGGGAGUCUCCAUCCUUGCUCGUGGAUCUGUUCUGAGGAGCGUUGCGGGCAUCAUGUCUGACAUUGACGCCGGCUGCAAUGAUGACGGUUUUAGUUCAGACUCUAAUUCUAAGUUCUGCGAUUUUGUCCCUUCUAAUUGCCAUGGAGCUGCAAAUGCCGGUGGUCCAGCAGCAGCUGAUGCAGCUGGGUAUUCAUCUGGUGAUGAAACAGACACUGAUUUGAUCAUUGACAACAUAAGCACACUGAUCAAAUCAUGCUUUCGUAAAAAGUGAAAACGUUGCAAUGUUGAAUGUCACUACUUGAAAAGGCAAAAGAGUCAUGAGGCCGAUCAACUGCCUGAUCAUAAAAAGGCUACUAAUAGGGGGAAUCUGGCAUGGCUGUCUCAUAUCAUCAAUAGUAUUCCAUCUGACACGAAACAGAUUAUCUGUGACUAUGGGUUUCCCUUUGUUUUCCAUCUCAAUUCUUCCGGCGCCCCUCAUUCUUUUGCUCAAUGGAUAGCUGAUCACAUCCAACUGGAGAGCUGUGACAUUAUUGUUGAGAGUGGUGUUAUUCAUCUAGGCGCACACAACUUUUCUGAAGUUAUUGGGCUAGAAAAUACGGGGUUGGAUGUGAAAGUUGAUUUUGAGAGUGCAAAGGAGCAAUUUCUAUCACUGAUGGGGUUUUCUGAGCUGCCUACUAUUAAACAUUUUGGCAAGAUGCUCCUCACCAAUGAUCUUGCAGAUGAUAAACAUUUCAUCUGCUUUAUGGUUGUCUUUCUCUCUAUUUUUUGUGUCCUAAUUCAAGUACCUACCCCAGCAUCAAGUACUUGGGGUCUUUGCUUGUUCCUAGUGAUGUGAGGAAUUAUAAUUGGGCAUCAUUUGGUCACAAGUGGUUGAUGCUCCUCACCAAUGAUCUUGCAGAUGAUAACCAUUUCAUCUGCUUUAUGGUUGUCUUUCUCUCUAUUUUUUGUGUCCUAAUUCAAGUACCUACCCCAGCAUCAAGUACUUGGGGUCUUUGCUUGUUCCUAGUGAUGUGAGGAAUUAUAAUUGGGCAUCAUUUGGUCACAAGUGGUUUAUCGAGAGUGUUAGGAAAUACCAAAAGAAUAAGAGUAAAUCAAAAGCUUUGUCUUCAAGGUCAAACCUCACUUUGGGCGGUUGCACAUAUGUCACGGUAGUCAAGUACCUGGAUUUUGCUGAUUUUGGUGAAGUCAAACUUGAUAAUUGUUUCCCUCGGACUUUAGUUUGGAAACAUGAUCUAAUCAAAGAUUUUGCUCGCCUCGACCAAAAGAGUGCUUAUGAGUAUGGCUUAUGGAAUGUGAGAGAUUUAUCUAGGACUUCUUAUGCUUCUGCUUCCACAUCUACCUUUGCCAGCUCAUAUCUGGCUGAGUUUAAGUGUUUGUUGGAGAGCUUGUUCCGCAAUUCACUUCAUGAUAAAGUGGUACAAGAUAUAUGCCAUCUGUUUGAAAGAUCUGAAAUUACACUUGGACCCGAUGUCAUGAAUGCAGCGGGACAGUUUUCUAUAGCUGUGCUUGAGUGUAUUAGAGAUGCUAGUUAUAAGCUUCAAAGGUCUACUUCAAGUGGGAAAGAACUGUCCCCCAUUGUUAAUGAAAACAUGGCUGCAUUUUCCGGCUGUGUUCAAAACUGCAAUAAAAAUUGUGAAGCGAUUGUUGCCGAUGCUGCUGUUGAUUCUCAAGCAACUAAAAAGGUCAAAGAUCCUGAUGACAUCAGAGGGGUACACGAUGUUCCAAACGAACCGUCUGAUGCUGAAACCGUGGUUGUUAAUUCUGAUGGGGAACAGUUAUGCAAUCGAGGUAUUCCGUUUGAAAGGAAAACCUUGCCCCUGUAUGGGUUUUGAUGAAUGAUGACAACAUGGUUGAGAAACUAAUGAGUUACACUAAGUGUUUUAGGUGUAGUUCCUCGGAAGAGUUGGUUUAACUAGCAUCGACGACUCCUAAAAAUUGAAGUACAUGUAUUGGCUUGAAGUAUGAAGAACUCAGUAAUGAACAAUGAAAA